rnacentral:misc_RNA from 1 species
AAAAAGAACCGGAGGGCCGCCAGGCUCGCCCGAAAACCCACUGUGAACCUUACCUGUAUCGUUGCUUCGGCAGGCGGCCCCAGGGCGGGGCCACCGCCUGUUAGGUCAGGUGCCUGCCGAAGGAUACCCAAACUCUUUAUAUUUUAGUUGUCUAUCUGAGUCUCACAAGACAAAAUUAGUCA